UACGUAGGGGGCAAGCGUUGUCCGGAAUCAUUGGGCGUAAAGCGCGCGUAGGCGGCUCGAUCAGUCUGCUGUAAAAGUCAAAGGCUCAACCUUUGAAUGCCGGUGGAUACUGUCGAGCUAGAGUCCGGAAGAGGCGAGUGGAAUUCCCGGUGUAGUGGUGAAAUGCGUAGAUAUCGGGAGGAACACCAGUGGCGAAGGCGGCUACCUGGCCCACUCUUGACGCUGAGGCGCGAAAGCUAGGGGAGCAAACGGG
rnacentral:rRNA from 1 species